UAAGACAAGUAGUGAUUUUAUCAGUUAGUUUGUAUUUGUCACACAUGCCAGGCUGGUUCUGUAGAUGAUGUGACAAGUACUUCAAUUAAUUCAAUUUAUGAAACCCUUCAGCAGCUAGCAGUUUCAAAAGGUAGUGUACCAAUAGACCAGGGAAACACUAGGUGAAAAUAUCUGUAAUAUCAGUGAGCCACCACACCAUUAAGACAGAGAUGAAAACACACCUACAAGAAUGUUGGUACAUUUCUUGUGGAAGUAGUGACCAAGGACCAG